rnacentral:rRNA from 1 species
GACGAACGCUGGCGGCGUGCUUAACACAUGCAAGUCGAGCGAUGAAUUUUCUUCGGAAAUGGAUUAGCGGCGAACGGGUGAGGAACACGUGAAGAAUCUGCCCUCCACUUUGGGAUAACACAGGGAAACCUGUGCUAAUACCGAAUAUUGAAACAUAAGUGGCAUCACUGAGUUUUGAAAGAAUUUCGGUGGAGGAUGACUUCGCGGCCUAUCAGCUAGUUGGUGAGGUAAUGGCUCACCAAGGCAACGACGGGUAGCCGGCGUUAGAGGGCGACCGGCCACACUGGGACUGAGACACGGCCCAGACUCGCGCUGGGGGCAGGAGUGGGGAAUAUUGGGGAAUGGAGGAAACUCUGACCCAGCGACGCCGCGUGCGGGAUGAAGGCCUUCGGGUUGUAAACCGCUUUCAGUAGGGAAGAAGCGAAAGUGACGGUACCUACAAAAGAAGCACCGGCUAACUAUGUGCCAGCCGCCGCGGUAA